rnacentral:rRNA from 1 species
UACGGAAGGGGCGAGCGUUGUUCGGAAUCAUUGGGCGUAAAGGGCGCGUAGGUGGUUCUGUAUGUCUACCGUGAAAGCGUACGGCUCAACCGUAUUUUGUCGGUAGAAACUGCAGGACUUGAGGCUGGGAGGGGCUGGUGGAAUUCCCUGUGUAGCGGUGAAAUGCGUAGAGAGUAGGGGAGAACACUCGUGGCGAAGGCGGCUUUCUGGGCCAUAACUGACGCUGAGAAGCGAAAGCAUGGGGAGCGAACAGG